ACGUAUCUGGCUUGCAUUCAGCUGCUGUUUGGGUUCAGACUGGUGUGGCGAUCCCGCUUCUGGUCGUCUUGCUUGUCGUAGUGGCUCAAAUGGUAGUGCAUUUGCAGGUGGAGUGCGCUGAGGUGUGUGGAGCAGCGAUUCGAUCUUCGUUUUGAGGACACUUUUAGUGAACCCCGAACGAUGGGAAAGUUGUUUGCCCUGCAUUACUGCCAAAGGAGAGGCCUCUGGUGGACUUUGAUAUAAUCGUGUAGACUGCUUGUAACGGCCGCAUGCGACGCGUGCUCGUUGUCUGUACGAUUGUGUCUUAGUUCCCUACUCCGGUGGAUCUCGGUGUAAAAGUUGGUCAUCUCUCCGACCCGUCUUGAAACACGGACCAAGGAGUUUAGCGUAUGCGCGAGUCAUUGAGUGUUGAAACUCAAAGGCGCAAUGAAAGUGAAAAUGAUAUGCGAUCCUGUAUGCCUCGGUGUGUAGGAGCAGCAUAGCCCCGUCCCAAUCGCUUGCGAUGGGGCGGAGGUAGAGCGUAUUCGCUGAGACCCGAAAGAUGGUGAACUAUUCCUGAGCAGGAUGAAGCCAGAGGAAACUCUGGUGGAAGUCCGAAGCGGUUCUGACGU
rnacentral:rRNA from 1 species